rnacentral:rRNA from 1 species
AUUGAACGCUGGCGGAAUGCUUUACACAUGCAAGUCGAACGGCAGCACGGGAGCUUGCUCCUGGUGGCGAGUGGCGAACGGGUGAGUAAUAUAUCGGAACGUAUCCAAUAAUGGGGGAUAACUAAUCGAAAGGUUGGCUAAUACCGCAUACGCCCUGAGGGGGAAAGCUGGGGAUCUUCGGACCUAGCGUUAAUGGAGCGGCCGAUAUCAGAUUAGCUAGUUGGUGGGGUAAAAGCCUACCAAGGCGACGAUCUGUAGCUGGUCUGAGAGGACGACCAGCCACACUGGAACUGAGACACGGUCCAGACUCCUACGGGAGGCAGCAGUGGGGAAUUUUGGACAAUGGGCGCAAGCCUGAUCCAGCCAUUCCGCGUGAGUGAAGAAG